rnacentral:rRNA from 1 species
UACGAAGGGGGCUAGCGUUGCUCGGAAUCACUGGGCGUAAAGCGCACGUAGGCGGCUUUCUAAGUCAGGGGUGAAAUCCUGGAGCUCAACUCCAGAACUGCCUUUGAUACUGGAGAGCUCGAGUCCGGAAGAGGUGAGUGGAACUCCGAGUGUAGAGGUGAAAUUCGUAGAUAUUCGGAAGAACACCAGCGGCGAAGGCGGCGCUCUGGGCCGGUACUGACGCUGAGGAGCGAAAGCGUGGGUAGCAAACAGG